GUACACGCUGUGACUAGCAUAUCAAUAAGCGGAGGAAAAGAAACUAACAAGGAUUCCCCUAGUAACGGCGAGUGAAGCGGGAAGAGCUCAAAUUUGAAAUCUUAAAGGGUUUCCCUUUACGAAUUGUAGUUUAAAGAAGUGUUUUCUGUUGAGGUUUUGGUAAAAGUUCUUUGGAAUAGGACAUCAUAGAGGGUGAGAAUCCCGUAUUUGACCUUUACUUUCAACUUUGUGAUACACUUUCAAAGAGUCGGAUUGUUUGGGAAUGCAGUCCAAAAUGGGUGGUAAAUUUCAUCUAAAGCUAAAUAUUGGCGAGAGACCGAUAGCGAACAAGUACCGUGAGGGAAAGAUGAAAAGAACUUUGAAAAGAGAGUUAAACAGUACGUGAAAUUGUCAAAAGGGAAGCGUUUGACACCAGUGUUGUUUUUCUGAAAAUCAAUUAAAGAACUGUUUAUGCUAAGCUGUUUAGACUUUAUCAGCUAUACUGUUUAGUUUUGAGCUUUUCUUUAAUGCACUUUUCAGUUAACAAGUCAACAUCAAUUUCUUUUGCUGUAAAAAAGCUUGAGGAAGGUGGCUUGAGAUUCGUCUUAAGUGUUUAUAGCCUCUUGCCUAUGCAGUCGGAGAGAUUGAGGUCUGCAGCGUAGAUCCUUCGGGGCUAAAUGCAUUUGUGCUAAGUUAUAGCAUUUUAUAGACAACUUGUUGACUAUGAUUUGUCUUGUAGCUUACUCGCUUAUGUUAUUUUACCUACGCUUAGGAUGUUGACUGAUAUGUAGUCGUA
rnacentral:rRNA from 1 species